rnacentral:lncRNA from 1 species
AUGGAAACCCUGAUGGAUGAAUAUUUUUAUGAACAACGUUAAUCAGGCUCAGAGCAGCCCAAGCCCUGGGGCUUUGUCAUGUCCAGUCAUGAAGCUGUAAGUGAGGAUGUCUAUACACUGAGAGCAAAGAGGGUAAUUCCUAACGUUUGCAUGGGGCUUCAUCAGGUCUAGAAAAUGUUGCUUUUAGUCUAGGCACCCACUCCGGGUACCACAAUUGUUGUUUACUAUCUUCUGUUUCUGAUGAGAAAACUGAGGCUUAGAGACAUGAAAUGACCGCCCUUCCUGGGUGUGUCAUGGCUUGAAAUCAGGUCUUCCUGGCUCUGUGGUUUUGGUAGUGGAAGAUGAACACACCAAAUUUAGCAGCCUCAAAAGGCCUGUGUGGCUUUCUUGGUAAAGAAGAGCAUCUCAUUCAGAAGCCCAAAGAAGCAAAUGAGCUACCCACAGAGUCACCACUGUAGCUUUCUUGGAGAGGAGGGCUCCAGAGGCUUCCCUUCUGAAACAAUCCAGCAUUCUGGAAAGUGAGGGAAUGAAGAAACUGUGGCACAAUGAGGGAUCUGACAUGGUUAGUGUGUCAAUGGAUUAGAGGUGAAGAAAAUGGAUAUCUUUCAUAAACACCCUUUCCCACACACAGUCGCCAUUCCCUGGGAAAACCCUGUAGCCACGGGCUUUGAAGUCAAAAAAUAUGGGUCCAA